UACGUAGGUGGCAAGCGUUGUUCGGAAUUAUUGGGCGUAAAGGGCGCGUAGGCGGUUUGCUAAGUCAGUUGUGAAAGCCCGGGGCUCAACCCCGGAGAGUCGGCUGAUACUGGUGGACUAGAGUACGGCAGGGGAGACUGGAAUUCCUGGUGUAGCGGUGGAAUGCGCAGAUAUCAGGAGGAACACCGGUGGCGAAGGCGGGUCUCUGGGCCGUUACUGACGCUGAGGAGCGAAAGCGUGGGGAGCGAACAGG
rnacentral:rRNA from 1 species